GGCCCAUGUGCCUGGUAAACAGAAACUAGAGUGCAUAGGGCUGUGAGAAGUUCUAAGGCAUUUGUGUAUUGCACCGGAGACUGAAAGAAGGGUGAGGUUUUGGGGGCUCUGAUGUGCAAGUGUUGCCACCUUUAAAUGGCCCCUUACUCUCAUAAUCAGUGCUGAGUAGUGGCAAGGGGGAGAAAAUGGAAAAGUUGGCAUGGGAGAGAAGGCAGAUCCAGAAGAUAGGAUACAGCUCAGCCCUGAGAAUGUGGCCUGAUUUUCUCUUCUGUUAUUACAACUGCUCUUCUGCUUGAGUUUCUUCUACACCUUCAAGAUGGCUGAAGAACAAGACGCUUUCUCUCCAUGUCUAUGCUGUUUCACUAUGCUGCAAAUAUUCCCAGCCUUUUCCCCUUGAUGCCCAAAAUAAAUUCCUCAAAUACCCUGAGCCCAGGAACUAUU
rnacentral:lncRNA from 1 species